UAUACAGCGAAACUGCGAAUGGCUCAUUAUAUAAGUUAUCGUUUAUUUGAUAGUGCCUUACUACUUGGAUAACCGUGGUAAUUCUAGAGCUAAUACAUGCUAAAAACCCCGACUUCGGAAGGGGUGUAUUUAUUAGAUACAAAACCAAUGCCCUUCGGGGCUCUUUGGUGAUUCAUGAUAACUAUACGAAUCGCACGGCCUUGCGCCGGCGAUGGUUCAUUCAAAUUUCUUCCCUAUCAACUUUCGAUGUUUGGGUAUUGGCCGAACAUGGUUGCAACGGGUAACGGAGGGUUAGGGCUCGACCCCGGAGAAGGAGCCUGAGAAACGGCUACUACAUCCAAGGAAGGCAGCAGGCGCGCAAAUUACCCAAUCCCGACUCGGGGAGGUAGUGACAAUAAAUACUGAUACAGGGCCCUUUCGGGCCUUGUAAUUGGAAUGAGUACAAUUUAAAUCCCUUAACGAGGAACAAUUGGAGGGCAAGUCUGGUGCCAGCAGCCGCGGUAAUUCCAGCUCCAAUAGCGUAUAU
rnacentral:rRNA from 1 species